rnacentral:rRNA from 1 species
ACGGAAGGCAGCAGUGAGGAAUAUUGGUCAAUGGACGGAAGUCUGAACCAGCCAAGUCGCGUGAAGGAUGAAGGUUCUAUGGAUUGUAAACUUCUUUUGUCUGAGGGUAAAGUGCAGUACGUGUACUGUUUUGCAAGUAUCAGACGAAUAAGCAUCGGCUAACUCCGUGCCAGCAGCCGCGGUAAUACGGAGGAUGCGAGCGUUAUCCGGAUUUAUUGGGUUUAAAGGGUGCGUAGGCGGAAUGUUAAGUCAGUGGUAAAAGCGGGUGGCUCAACCAUACCAAGCCAUUGAUACUGGCGUUCUUGAGUGUAAACGAGGUAGGCGGAAUAUGACAUGUAGCGGUGAAAUGCUUAGAUAUGUCAUAGAACCCCGAUUGCGAAGGCAGCUUACCAGCAUACAACUGACGCUGAGGCACGAAAGCGUGGGUAUCAAACAGGAUUAGAUACCCUGGUA